UCCAAACUAAAAUCAAACACUGACUCUAAGACGACAUACAUACUUGACGUGCAAAGACAUCAGACAAACAAACGACAGACUCAAAAAUAUAAAACUACAAGCACGGACUGUGCAUACUCUAAAGCCUCAAAUACUGGUGCCUGUGGGGCAUCAUUCGGCCUCGCGGCGGGCCUAGGAUCCAAAUCCCUUUCGAGUUGCUCUAAUUAGUUCAUGGUUUGCUUUACAUAGAUAAUUACUGUUGGGACAAAAGUAGAAUAGGUCAUAUUUUCACAAAUCUGUGACCUUUUAAAAAUGGCACGAGAAAUGGCUCUAAUCACUGCAUGUCUUUAACGCCUGAGGGUCCUGCAUGUGUUGAUCCUGCAGCUGCCGCACUUCUACCUCCAUUUGGGCCAACCGGUCAUAACAAUGUUCACUUUCAAUUUCUAAAUCUCUAGCAUGCUUAACCGAUUUAUUCUCAAACGCAACCACCUUUCUCUUCAGAUUGGCAACAAUUCUCUCGUGAUCCCUUUUCACCUGAUUCAAACAUUGGCGACGCUCCUCUGUUUUUGUAGCCCACUGUGCUUUGAGUUCUGGCGUGACAUUCUCAGAUUUUUCUGAUUCAUAUCAACAUUCCCUGACUUUAUUUUCCAACCCUUUUAUCAAUCGCUCAUCUGAUCGACUCCUUGGUUGUUUAUCCACGACUAUUCUCAACUGCCGGAUUUGGGAUCUAAGUGUUUCAUUUUCUCGAGCCAGCCUGUUCUUCUCACGCUGAUGCGCGGCAACUUGCACACUAUUCUCAAAUUUCAUACUUUUAUCUUGCUGCUUCAACUUCCCGAUUUCAUCCCGGUAACCUUCUUCCUUAACCAAUCCCACUGCUCUUGGGACGACUCGGCGAAAUCUUCGAGAUGAGGUAUUUUAGCUGGUCUCUCGCAUGACACAUCACCUCUGAACCAAUCAUCAUACCCAAGGGCAACUUCCCCUUUAGACCUAUCUUACACACAAGUGUUCACCAUCAAAUGGUGACACUCACUCCAGAUCUGGCAAACUUCUUCUUCGGGAUAUCGACCAUAAGGACUAAUUUCGACCACCUGGGUACUCAGAUCUUCAACUUUCAGCACUGCUUGAUAUCUCCCAAGUUUCCUCAGAACCCGAUAUGGUCCGUAGGGUUAAGUCUCAUCAACAAAAAGUGGGGCCUGGCUGCUGCCAUAUAUAUGAUUUCUUCGACAGGCAACCAUCCGAGCGCCCACUGUAUCUAGCUGGCAGUGAGGGUCCGAAAUAAUGAUGUCUAGGCCGCAACUCCUUCAGGUAGACUAGCCCAUUUGAUUCUUAUGUAAUAUUCUCCUAUACAAGUGUUCUCAGAUGAAACAUAACUCAGAGCUGGGAGCGGUUUCAUAAUUGCUCGAUCAUCCACAUUUGUAAUAACAAGUUACAUCCCUAAAAAUAUUUGCCCCCAGUUUUGCAAGCAGUGAGAGCCCGGAAGAUGUCAGCCACGAUCAUAGGCGCCAAAGUGCUUUUUU
rnacentral:lncRNA from 1 species